rnacentral:rRNA from 1 species
UACGUAGGUCGCAAGCGUUGUCCGGAUUUACUGGGCGUAAAGAGCGCGCAGGCGGCUGGUCAAGUCCGAUGUGAAAUCUCCCGGCUCAACUGGGAAACUGCAUCGGAAACUGAUCGGCUUGAAGGUGGGAGAGGGUAGUGGAAUUCCCGGUGUAGUGGUGAAAUGCGUAGAUAUCGGGAGGAACACCAGUGGCGAAGGCGGGCUACUGGGCCGAUACUGACGCUGAUGCGCGAAAGCCAGGGGAGCGAACGGG